AUUGAACGCUGGCGGCAGGCCUAACACAUGCAAGUCGAGCGGAUGAAGGGAGCUUGCUCCUGGAUUCAGCGGCGGACGGGUGAGUAAUGCCUAGGAAUCUGCCUGGUAGUGGGGGAUAACGUCCGGAAACGGGCGCUAAUACCGCAUACGUCCUGAGGGAGAAAGUGGGGGAUCUUCGGACCUCACGCUAUCAGAUGAGCCUAGGUCGGAUUAGCUAGUUGGUGGGGUAAAGGCCUACCAAGGCGACGAUCCGUAACUGGUCUGAGAGGGUGAUCAGUCACACUGGAACUGAGACACGGUCCAAACUCCUACGGGAGGCAGCAGUGGGGAAUAUUGGACAAUGGGCGAAAGCCUGAUCCAGCCAUGCCGCGUGUGUUAAGAAGGUCUUCGGAUUGUAAAGCACUUUAAGUUGGGAGGAAGGGCAGUAAGUUAAUACCUUGCUGUUUUGACGUUACCAACAGAAUAAGCACCGGCUAACUUCGUG
rnacentral:rRNA from 1 species